rnacentral:rRNA from 1 species
CCCUUAGAUGUUCUGGGCCGCACGCGCGCUACAAUGAUGAAUUCAACGAGUUUAUAACCUUGGUUGAAAAGCCUGGGUAAUCUUUUGAACUUUCGUCGUGAUGGGGCUAGACCCUUGCAAUUAUCGGUCUCCAACGAGGAAUUCCUAGUAAACGCAAGUCAUCAGCUUGCAUUGAUUACGUCCCUGCCCUUUGUACACACCGCCCGUCGCACCUACCGAUUGAAUGGUCCGGUGAAAUCUUCGGAUUGAGACUUUGAUUUCUUCACGGAAAACGCUGUUUUAAGAAGUUGAUUAAACCUUACCAUUUAGAGGAAGGUGAAGUCGUAACA